AUGCACGCUGGCGGCGUGCCUAAUACAUGCCAGUCGAGCGAACAGACGAGGAGCUUGCUCCUUUGACGUUAGCGGCGGACGGGUGAGUAACACGUGGAUAACCUACCUAUAAGACUGGGAUAACUUCGGGAAACCGGAGCUAAUACCGGAUAACAUGUUGAACCGCAUGGUUCAACAGUGAAAGACGGUCUUGCUGUCACUUAUAGAUGGAUCCGCGCCGCAUUAGCUAGUUGGUAAGGUAACGGCUUACCAAGGCAACGAUGCGUAGCCGACCUGAGAGGGUGAUCGGCCACACUGGAACUGAGACACGGUCCAGACUCCUACGGGAGGCAGCAGUAGGGAAUCUUCCGCAAUGGGCGAAAGCCUGACGGAGCAACGCCGCGUGAGUGAAGAAGGUCUUCGGAUCGUAAAACUCUGUUAUUAGGGAAGAACAAAUGUGUAAGUAACUAUGCACGUCUUGACGGUACCUAAUCAGAAAGCCACGGCUAACUACGUG
rnacentral:rRNA from 1 species